CCUACGGGAGGCAGCAGUGAGGAAUAUUGGUCAAUGGCCGGAAGGCUGAACCAGCCAAGUCGCGUGAGGGAAUAAGGCCCUAUGGGUCGUAAACCUCUUUUGUCAGGGAGCAAAGGCGCCCACGUGUGGACGAGAGGAGAGUACCUGAAGAAAAAGCAUCGGCUAACUCCGUGCCAGCAGCCGCGGUAAUACGGAGGAUGCGAGCGUUAUCCGGAUUUAUUGGGUUUAAAGGGUGCGUAGGCGGGAUGCCAAGUCAGCGGUAAAAAUGCGGUGCUCAACGCCGUCGAGCCGUUGAAACUGGCGUU
rnacentral:rRNA from 1 species